rnacentral:rRNA from 1 species
UACGGGGGGGGCAAGCGUUGUUCGGAAUUACUGGGCGUAAAGGGCUCGUAGGCGGCCAACUAAGUCAGACGUGAAAUCCCUCGGCUUAACCGGGGAACUGCGUCUGAUACUGGAUGGCUUGAGUUUGGGAGAGGGAUGCGGAAUUCCAGGUGUAGCGGUGAAAUGCGUAGAUAUCGUAAGGAAGACCAGAGGCGAAGGCGGGUCUCUGGACAGUUCCUGACGCUGAGGCACGAAGGUCAGGGGAGCAAACGGG